UUAGGUGGUCCCGAAGAGAGAGAGAGAGAAAGAAACCAUGGUCGUCGGAGCUGUCUCCUCACACAGUCUCACCAUCACCACGCCACCGCCGCCGCAUCGCGAGAUGCUGCCCGUGGGGUGGUGGUGACGCGGGGGAGCUUGUGCCGGCGGCGGAGGCGCCGAUCGACGGGCGCAGUUGCCGAAUCCGUGGGGUUGGUGGGCGGUGUUGCUGUGAAUUGUGAAAAAACUGACACAUAGGCUUCUUAUAUCCGGUAAAAAUCUAUUGACGAUUCUUUCGCUGAUUGUUUGGUGCUCGUUUUCUUGCUCUACGAUCCGAGAUCCUUGUUUUUUUCUUUCCCUGUUGCACGUUUUCAGUCUGGACUCUGGAGAUUGCGGUUGUUGCCGGUGAGCUGCUCGUUCAAAUGCCAAGGAAGACUGCGAGUUGCAAGAUGGAGUAGCAUUUAUGUACAAUUCGAACUAGGAAGGGGUACCCCCAAUAAAAAAAAAAGCUCAGAGGCUUAAGAAGACAAAAACUGAAGAAGAAGAAGAAGAAGAAGAAGAAGAAGAAGAAGAAGAAGAAGAAGAAGAAGAAGAAGAAGAAGAAGAGGAAGAACUCCAGCGUGGCGCUCUUACAGAAACAGCACUAGGCCAAUAAUCUUGCUAAAUCUUAAGCACUACACAUACUCCAGAGGUUGAUCUCUGCCCUUGAAGAUUCAGCGAUUUCUUUCGAACCAGAUUUCUCAAGCAAUUAGGAUCAACCACGGGUCUCCAUACCUAUCAACAGUGUCAACUCUGUAUUUGGCUCUCCUGCCUAUCUACGACGUCAAGUCUCCAUGAUAAUCUCUGCACACCAUGGAUGAUUGAUGAGUGAAUAUAUAUAUGAUUCAGCUUCAGAAAAGCACCAUCCUCAGGUAGUCCUCGAGGACGGGGAGCCUCUGCUCGCCGUCGUGGCCGUGCAUGACGCCGACCAUCCUGGCGGCAUUGAGCGCCGCCUGCGUGAAGCCGGCGGGGAAGGCCCUCCCGGAGAAGAAGCUCUCACGGUUGAGCUUCUCCCACUCCCUGGCGAUCAUGCCGCGCAUGUGCUCCUCCGCUUCGCUGGCGGCGAGCCCCGGGUUCUCCCUGAGAGUCUGAAGAUUUUUGCUGGGCAGGAGAUGACAGGAGGGAUGUUGUCAAUGAGCUCUGCUGCAUCAUGCCCUAGCAUGAAUAAUAAGUGUAAAAACAUAAGUGGUACUCCUGAAGUGAUAACACCAUUUCUUAGGUAAUCCUCUGAGGAGGGAACAUGACUAUCGGUCAACCAUUUUGCCUCAGUCAUUAAUCCAUCAAACAGCACUGCCCACUGCGGAAGAUGGGGAGCGCUCCUCUUGUGUGCUGACAAGAUCAAAGAUGUCAUCCAUAAUGUAGACAAAGGAGGCGAUCUUUGUGAGCUCAAUCCGGUAUCUGGAGAAGGAAGCACCCUGGAAGGCCGUCAUUAUCCAGACGUACCAUUUCUGCACCUGGUCCCUGGCAACUGCAGCUUGUUCAGCUUGAAGUUUGCAAGAGCAAGCUCUUCCAUUGCAGUGCACCUGGUGGGCAAGGUCUGCAGGUAGCUGAGGUGGUGCCUGGCCUUGUACUGCAUCAAGCUGACAUGGUAGGGAUGUUCCAGUGACUGCCUCACAUAUCUUGCAAGGCCUGGCUCUAAGUAAUCGAUGGCAGAUUGAAGGCUGAGUAGCCCUCUGAUGUCCUUGCUGUAAGCCAUGCUGAAAUCGCCAUUUCCAUCUGUGAAUCUUCCAAGAACCUCAUCUGCACAGCCGGAACGCGAGGGUGGCAUCGAGCAGGUCGCCGCCAUGGGCGAGCUCCUCGAGGUGGGCAUCCAUGGCGCCGUCGACCUCGUCCUGGAAGUAGUGGUCGAUGCAGAGGCGCUUCAGGUGGUCGACGGUGGCCAUCCUCUCCCGGGCGCCGCCGCCGCCGCCGCUCGCCGUACUACUCCUCUGACGCCGCCGUUGAUGCAGCAGCAUCUCCUGCACGUCGUUCGUCAGGCCAUCCAGGCGCUCCAUGAAGCCCUGCAAAUGCAUGCAUUUCCCAAACACAAGCGGUUAGAGAGCCAGAAUUCACAAUCUCGAUUCUCGACGAAUUUCAAUCAUUUCUAAAGGUCUUAUCCGAAAUUUAGAUGGAAAUGGUGGGUUGCUCGCACUGCAUGAAACUCGUGUAUAUUUGUAGGGAAGCCCAAGCUUCUUAAUUU